AGAGUUUGAUCAUGGCUCAGGAUGAACGCUAGCGGCAGGCUUAAUACAUGCAAGUCGAGGGGCAGCACGAGGUAGCAAUACUUUGGUGGCGACCGGCAAACGGGUGCGGAACACGUACGCAACCUUCCCGAAACUGGGGAAUAGCCCUCCGAAAGGAGGAUUAAUACCCCGUAAGAUAGUGAAGUGGCAUCACUUUACUAUUAUAGGCAGCAAUGUCGGUUUUGGAUGGGCGUGCGCCUGAUUAGGUAGUUGGCGGGGUAACGGCCCACCAAGCCUGCGAUCAGUAACUGGUGUGAGAGCACGACCAGUCACACGGGCACUGAGACACGGGCCCGACUCCUACGGGAGGCAGCAGUAAGGAAUAUUGGUCAAUGGACGAAAGUCUGAACCAGCCAUGCCGCGUGAAGGAUGAAGGUCCUCUGGAUUGUAAACUUCUUUUAUCUGGGACGAAAAAAGGGCUUUCUAGCUCACUUGACGGUACCAGAGGAAUAAGCACCGGCUAGCUCCGUGCCAGCAGCCGCGGUAAUACGGAGGGUGCAAGCGUUAUCCGGAUUCACUGGGUUUAAAGGGUGCGUAGGUGGGCAGGUAAGUCAGUGGUGAAAUCUCCGGGCUUAACCCGGAAACUGCCAUUGAUACUAUCUGUCUUGAAUAUCCUGGAGGUGAGCGGAAUAUGUCAUGUAGCGGUGAAAUGCUUAGAUAUGACAUAGAACACCCAUUGCGAAGGCAGCUCACUACGGGAUGAUUGACACUGAGGCACGAAAGCGUGGGGAUCAAACAGGAUUAGAUACCCUAGUAGUCC
rnacentral:rRNA from 1 species